rnacentral:rRNA from 2 species
ACCCUGAUCAGCCAUGCCGCGUGAGUGAUGAAGGCCUUAGGGUCGUAAAGUCGCCUGUGAAGAUAAUGACGGUAGCAGGUAAAGAAACCCCGGCUAACUCCGUGCCAGCAGCCGCGGUAAUACGGAGGGGGUUAGCGUUGUUCGGAAUUCUGGGCGUAAAGCGCACGUAGGCGGACUGGAAAGUUGGGGGUGAAAUCCCGGGGCUCAACCCCGGAACUGCCUCCAAAACUAUCAGUCUAGAGUUCGAGAGAGGUGAGUGGAAUUCCGAGUGUAGAGGUGAAAUUCGUAGAUAUUCGGAGGAACACCAGUGGCGAAGGCGGCUCACUGGCUCGAUACUGACGCUGAGGUGCGAAAGUGUGGGGAGCAAACAGGAUUAGAUACCCUGGUAGUCCACACCGUAAACGAUGAAUGCCGUCUCGGUAGCAUCUAUUCGUGACACACCUAACGG